rnacentral:lncRNA from 1 species
AAGAAUAUAACAUUAUAAAUAUUAUUAAUAAAUGUAAAAUUAUAACAAUUUAACAUUUCACAAUACCAAUAAAUAAAUAACAAUUCAACAUUUCACAAUUUUAGAUUAAGCUAUCAAAGAAACUGAGGCGACAUCCACUUUCAAAGGCAUAUGCCUUCCUUUCUAUUCAACAUACAAAAGCUUAUGGUUGUUAUUCACCAAGAUCUUGACAACAUCAGUGUUGCCAACUACAAUUUUUAUCAUCAGAGUCUGGGUCAUGGCUUGUAGGGGUUUCAAAUGUUGACGGCCUGGAAUUGGAUACUAAUCAAGAGCAAAGCUAGGAAUUAACAAAAAGAUUCGUCAUAUUGAAGUCCUUAAUCAACAUUUAUGUUUGCUUCCUUCAAGAACAACAGUGAACUCUGUGAGGAUUUUCAUCGAACACCGUAUGUGCGUGAAUCCUUUGAAAUAGGUGUGAAGGCAGAUUUAAUUGAUGUCGAACAAUCCUAUGACAUUCAGUUGCAGAAACAUCCUGUGAAAUUCAAUUACAAUGAACCUGAGAAAUGGUAAUCUCAUACAAUAGUAACAUCAUAAAAGGUGUGAAAUAGUUGUGAACUUAACCUUAACAAUGAAAAUGAGAAACUGAUUCAAUUACACAAACUUCGAAAUGGGUGUGAAGUCGUAGACGAUGGCUAAUGCUUUGAGAACUCAAUAAAGAAUUACCUUAAUAGCAUACUCCCAACGCUUCGAGUACAGUUCCCAGAAACAUCUUCGUGGUAGAAGAAACUGGUAGAAGACGGAGAUGAUGGAAGAAGUCAGAGGCGAUGACUACGGUGGUGAGCAGGGGAGGAUUCAAAGUCGUAGUCGUUGGAGGAUCCGGAGUUAGACUAAAUGCGAUGGAAUGGAAAAUCGGAAGGAACCCUAGCAGAAAUUGAGGAGCUAAACCACUAGUCGAAACCACCAUUGAAAACUGAACCUCAAACCUUCAACCACCUGCUAUGUGAACUAAGAAGACGUGGAGAAGAUAUAUUCAACCUCCAGUCCCACACCCCAAGUCCCACACCCCAAGUCCCACUUCGCUGGUGCAAAAAAAU